rnacentral:lncRNA from 1 species
AGUCCACAGGACAUCGACCACAUGUACAGUAAGAGGCCUUACAGCUUUCCACCCAGAGAGCAUGUUAAUGUGAGUGAAGAUUAACCCAAGAGAACAACAUAUCCAGUGUUUACAGCUGUGCACUAAGCCAUGACUUUGUGUGUCUUGAUUAAGGACUAUAAUGACAGCAUGGACUAACAUGAUGUGGUCACCACAACCAGAGACGUUGGGAUCCUGAGUGAAGACGCAUCUUUCGACAGGCUUGUGGUGAGGACAUGCAAAGGAUCAACAAACAACAAAUCUUAUUUGAUAUACUUAACCAGAAUAAUUACGUUUAACAUCUGAAUGCUGUUUGAUCAAAUUUUAGGAAAGGGCUCAGCAAGCUGAACACCAUAGAAAAGUCACUAGUGACCUUCAUGUAAUGUUCAUCACUCAGGAUAACGGUCUACUGCAACAUCUUGAAGCGGUCAUCGCAUGAAAAGUUACAUCCUCAUGGGCAACAUCAAAGGGCAGGGUGAUCAUUUUCUUUGAGGAGGAUGAGCAGCUGGACAGAGUGCUGGGCUUCUUGACAAGCCUGGUUAAAGCACAGACAACCAGGUGUCACAAUCACGUGGCAUUUGUUAUGGAUGUGCUUCUGCCAGAGGUAAAUUAUGAAACUUUUUUAUUUAUUAUAAUAACAUUUUGUAUAAUUGUUAUUAUUGUCAUUCUUUAACUUAUGGUUAAUAUCUUGUUAACUGCAACAUGACAGACAACUUAAAUGUCUAUAUGAAAGAUGUCCUUUUGUUCACCUCAUGACACAGGCAACAGUCCACGCCCUUUCAGCUGUCCAUGCAUUUUCCAUUGACAGAGCGACAGAAGUUUAUAAAUGUGGACUGCAGUAUGACUUGAGUGGAAAACGGCUGUUGGCUCAUUACAUGACAAACAACAUGGCUCUACAGCAACUAGAAAAAUAUGCUGAAAAACUCAGAAGAGCUCUGGACUCUGAGGAGUUUUUGAAGACGCUUUAGUAUGUAUGUAGGAUGAAUUAAAAAAUAGUCUGUGAAAUGAUAAUGUUUUAUUUUAUUGCCAAUAAAAGUUGUUGCUGGCUAAUUCAUUUGUCUCAACUUUUGUGUUUUGAGGUACAUAUUUUAAAGAGCUGUGUAUGGUCAUAUUUAUAAAUACAUAAAUACAUUUUAUUUGUGUCAAAGGGCGAGCAAUCUUUUCUGUUAACCCAUAAGAAAUCAUCACCUUAGAGUGAUAAUUAUGGCAUCUGAUGUAGUAGGCCAAGCUCUGUGACAGUGUGGCUCUUAGAAAAACAGCUGGUGGAAACAACCUAUUUUAAUUGAAAUGACUACUACUAAUUAUUAUUAUUAUUGUAAAAUAUUUUAUUUUAUUUAGUUUAAAAUAACCUUGUGCACAUACAUUAGUCACUUAUAUAAAAAAUGAAAAGAUGCAUGCAACAGAUUUAGCAGUCCUAUAUAAUCUUUUAUCCCAAUCUUUUAUUUUUUUUAUUACUUAACUUUCUAUUUUUGUAUAUAUUUAUUGUUUCAAGCACAUUGUUUGCAUUGAAAAGCAUUUAAUGUUGUGAAUCAACCGUUAAAGUUGUUAAAAAUGAUCUGGUUAUUGCUUCGUUUCCUUUGUGUUUGCUUUCUAAGUGCUCUGGGCCUCCACAGCCACCGUAGUGUUGUAUGGGCGUGUUUUGUAAUGGGCGUGGUUUUUAGCGGCUCUGGCUUAGCUGCGGCUGCAGCUAGACCCUUCUCCGGACUUUGCUAACAAGCUAGCGACGAGCAAACUUGAUGCGUAGAGCAGGUGUGGAGCUGUGAGACCGAAGACAGACACAGAGACCCAGACGGAGCCGGACAGCGUUGCCGAGUGGUGGACUUUGUCGAUAUCGUCAGCGGUGGGAGUCUUCUCUUCAUCGCUCCUCCUGCUUCUGGCUGCCUGGAUCCUGAGCGCGGGAGGCUAACGCAAUUUAGUGACGGUACCAGUGUUUGUUUUUUUGCCUUCGUGGUGAAGCAGCCAUUUCCUUUAAGGCUACAACGUACAAGAGAUACCUUCAGGCCUGCAACGUUGAACUGGGUAUUUUCAUUUAAACUAUUUUAUUUUCUUUGGGCCCAUGUGUUUUGAAUGUGUCUGUGAAUGCACUAUUGUGAGUUGUCAAGCAUUUGAUAAGAGCAUUGAAACAAAUAUUUAACCAGUGAGUUCAUAUUUUUUCAAAGUAAAUAACUCAUACUUUUUCAUAAAACAGGUGUGGUUAUUUAAUACUUUUGAUAUUUUAAGUUAAGACAGAGUGAUAUGUGUUUGUGAUAGACCAGUGAUGUUGAUAGGUUUUCAAUGUAGUGAGUCCCCGGGACCCACAGGUGGUGAGUUGAGUGGGUCCCUGGGAAAUCCAAUGGGUCCCGACUCCCCAGUUAAAAAAAUGUAUUUCUUUCUUAUGUUAUUCUAUUUCUUAAAUUUUAUUGAGUGUUAAACUCCUUUGAAGGUGGUAUGAUAUGGUUAUAAUAAACGGAUAUAUUCAUGUAUGUUCAAAAUGUAUCUGAAAUUAAACAAAUAAAAUUCCAAAUCAUUUUUUGUAGCAACAUAGGCUAAAUAGCACCAAAAAAAAUUACUAAAAUUCAAAUAGUCUGCUGACCUGCAAUAGGUUUUAUCUUUUUCUUUGGUGGCAUUUUUGCGUUCUCCUUUUCCUGCUUACUCGAGAAAAAACGGGAUCUCGUUGGAAGCGCCAUGUAUGCGCAGACGCCGUUUGGGCAUAACAAAAUGGCGGCUGCCAUUCAAUGUAGUUUUCAUCACCACCACCGGGUUUUGUUUUAUUUUAUUUAUUGAAAUUGGAAAAAUUCUUCUUCUUAUUAGGGCCCGAGCAGGUCAUCGACCUGUGAGGUCCCUAUUGAAAUUGUAAAAAUUAUUAGGGCCCGAGCAGGUCAUCGACCUGUGAGGUCCCUAUUGAAAUUGGAAGAAUUAUUCUUCUUAUUAGGGCCCGAGCAGGUAGACCUUCGAGGUCCCUAUUGUAAUUGGAAGGAAAUACAUUUUCUUCUCC